rnacentral:rRNA from 1 species
AUGACCCGCAUCACGCAGCUCGCCACCGGCCUUGCAACGUCAUCGUUUUUGCUCAUCGUCGCGCACUGCAUCGCAGGAGGUGCAAUGGAGUGCCGUUGGGGAGUCGUUGGUGCUCCACCGCGGCUGCAAUGGAGCGCUGCCAGGUCGUCGGAGCUCCGACGCGGCUGCAAUGGAGCACGCCCGGGGCUGCAAUGGAGCGCCGCCGGAGUCGUUGGAGCUCCGUCGCGGCUGCAAUGGAUCUUCGAGGAGGACGUCGAUGGUGCUGCAUUGGAGUUUUUUUUCGCGCCGCAGUGCAGCAGCGCCGUCCGAGGCUUGCCGUCGGUCUGCAACUGA